rnacentral:tRNA from 1 species
GCCUCCGUAACAUAAUGGAUAGUGUGCCGCUCUCCUAUUGGCCGGAGACCUAUGUCCCGUGACUAAAAAUGUCAUUUGUCGAAGUUAAGCGGAUAUCCGGGUUCGAACCCCGGCGGAGGCU